GGCGGGGCUGUGGUUCAGUGGAAGAAUAUCUGCUUCGCAAGCAGGAGGUCCCAGGUUCAAUCCCUGGCCUCCCCU